GGAUUGACAGAUUGAGAGCUCUUUCUUGAUUCGGUGGGUGGUGGUGCAUGGCCGUUCUUAGUUGGUGGAGCGAUUUGUCUGGUUAAUUCCGAUAACGAACGAGACUCUAGCCUGCUAAAUAGUACGCCGAUACCUUUUUCGUCGGUGCUGACUUCUUAGAGGGACAAGCGUCUUGAAGACGCACGAGAUUGAGCAAUAACAGGUCUGUGAUGCCCUUAGAUGUUCGGGGCCGCACGCGCGCUACACUGAAGGGGACAGCGAGUUUUUCCUGGUUCGAAAGAACCGGGUAAUCUGUUGAAUUCCCCUUCGUGACAGGGAUCGGGGCUUGCAAUUAUUCCCCGUGAACGAGGAAUUCCCAGUAAGCGCAAGUCAUCAGCUUGCGUUGAUUACGUCCCUGCCCUUUGUACACACCGCCCGUCGCUACUACCGAUUGAAUGGUUUAGCAAGGUCCUCGGAUUGGUGCCGACUUGGUGGCAACACUAGGUCGGAUACUGAAAAGAAGAUCAAACUUGAUCAUUUAGAGGAAGUAAAAGUCGUAACAAGGUUUUCCGUAGGUGAACCUGCGGAAGGAUCAUUA
rnacentral:ncRNA from 1 species